CCCGUUAGGGUGCUAUACAUGCAAGUCGAGCGAAUGGAUUAAGAGCUUGCUCUUAUGAAGUUAGCGGCGGACGGGUGAGUAACACGUGGGUAACCUGCCCAUAAGACUGGGAUAACUCCGGGAAACCGGGGCUAAUACCGGAUAAUAUUUUGAACUGCAUGGUUCGAAAUUGAAAGGCGGCUUCGGCUGUCACUUAUGGAUGGACCCGCGUCGCAUUAGCUAGUUGGUGAGGUAACGGCUCACCAAGGCAACGAUGCGUAGCCGACCUGAGAGGGUGAUCGGCCACACUGGGACUGAGACACGGCCCAGACUCCUACGGGAGGCAGCAGUAGGGAAUCUUCCGCAAUGGACGAAAGUCUGACGGAGCAACGCCGCGUGAGUGAUGAAGGCUUUCGGGUCGUAAAACUCUGUUGUUAGGGAAGAACAAGUGCUAGUUGAAUAAGCUGGCACCUUGACGGUACCUAACCAGAAAGCCACGGCUAACUACGUGCCAGCAGCCGGGGGUAAUACCA
rnacentral:rRNA from 1 species